GCCGACGUAGCUCAGCGGUAGAGCAACUGAUUCGUAAUCAGUAGGUCGUAGGUUCGAAUCCUAUCGUCGGCU
rnacentral:tRNA from 1 species